CUCAUCCUACGGGGCGCAGCAGUAGGGAAUAUUGCUCAAUGGGGGAAACCCUGAAGCAGCAACGCCGCGUGGAGGAUGAAGGUUUUAGGAUUGUAAACUCCUUUUGUGAGAGAAGAUAAUGACGGUAUCUCACGAAUAAGCACUGGCUAACUCCGUGCCAGCAGCCGCGGUAAUACGGAGGGUGCAAGCGUUACUCGGAAUCACUGGGCGUAAAGAGUACGCAGGCGGGCUUGUAAGUCAGAUGUGAAAUCCUGUAGCCUAACUACAGGACUGCAUUUUAAACU
rnacentral:rRNA from 1 species